rnacentral:rRNA from 1 species
AUUGAACGCUGGCGGCAGGCCUAACACAUGCAAGUCGAACGAGUGGCGGACGGGUGAGUAAUGUCUGGGAAACUGCCUGAUGGAGGGGGAUAACUACUGGAAACGGUAGCUAAUACCGCAUACCAUCGGAUGUGCCCAGAUGGGAUUAGCUAGUAGGUGGGGUAAAGGCUCACCUAGGCGACGAUCCCUAGCUGGUCUGAGAGGAUGACCAGCCAAACUGAAACUGAGACAGGGUCCAGACGCCUACGGGAGGCAGCAGAGGGGAAUAUUGCAAAAGAGGGGCAAGCCUGAUGCAGCCAUGCAGCGUGUGUGAAGAAGGCAUUAGGGUUGUAAAGCACUUUCAGCGGGGAGGCGAUACCCGCAGAAGAGGCACCGGCUAACUCCGUGCCAGCCACGGCGGUAAUAA